GCCUGUAUCAGGUAAAACCUUUAGUCUUGCAUAAAAAUGUGCUGCUAAUUUGACACUAACACCAGUUGUCCAUUAUGAUGUAUACUUUUCAAAAUAUAUAUGACAAAAUCAACAUAUGAUUCAUAUUUUGUAUUUUAAUAAACAUGAAAAUGUGAUGGUUUAAGUGGGGCCUGGCCUCAUAUGGAUAUAUAUUCUUGGAAGCAAGGAUAUUCAAGAUCAAUAUGCAUGUUAUAUUUUUUGUAUUUAUAAGCAGAACAUUAAAUUAUAUUCCAAAUAGUUCUUUUUUCUAUAUAAUUACUAAGGCAGUUUGAGAAUCAACACAGACUUAUAAUUUGACAAUUUUUUAAUCAGGCAUGUGGUAGUUAUACAUAUUUGUACACAAAAAUAGCUAAAACAACACAUUUUAGUGACCAAAUGAACCUCUAUACACAGACAGAUGUACUACACAUUUAACUCUUUCUAUUGCAUUGUCUAAUUUACUAUUGUCAUAGUCAAUAAGCACAAUUUUCAUCUAUAAUUGUUUACUAAUUUAAACAUUGCCAAUACUUAGAGGAAUUCAUCUAAAAAAAAUUCUCUUCAAAAAAAGUUAACCAAAAUGAGAUUGUUUUAUAACUUUAAUUUCUUAUGCCGUAAAAUGUUGACAAAUAUGCUGCUUAAAGAAACUAGACUAACUUUCAUCUUGUUCAAUAAUACUCCAACUCAUUUGCAUAAAUCUAUUUACUUAUGCAUAGUAUUGUUUUAAACAAAUAUUCAUAAUACUUUCCUCUUCAGUUAAGUUACUGAAAUAGCUAUGGCUCUUAUUGAUUUGUUAAGUAAUCAAAACAUUUUAAACAAUAUGUUUUUCUUUCUGGGGAUGAAGUUAUUAAAGGUUAUGUAUGUGGUCCUCAAAAUUUCGAACCGACCAAAAUAAUUUGUAUAUCUUAUCAGAGAAUAAAUAUACAAGAACACUGGUCACUGUGUAAUGUCCAAUCUGAAAUAAAUUAAUGACUAACAAAAUCUUACACUAGUAUAAAAACAACUUUAUAUACAAGGGUUAUGACAGAAACAAAGGAUUAAUUCAUUUUGAAAUAUUUGUAAAAUUUACAAGCCCUUUUGUGAUUUAUAUCUGUACCAUAAAUACAUAUAUACAAAAAGAAAAGAUGUUGGGAUCUCAUAAUAGCAAAAAAAUAUCAAUUCAAAUUAUUUCCCAUGGUUCACACACAAAUAAAUCAUGAUACCCCCUUUAAAUGUUACAGAUGGCAACAGUGACUACCUGCAGUUUAAUUUUCUUUUAUAAAAAAAAACGUUAGUUGUAUGCUUGUUAAUAAUAAAAUAUAACUAAUUCAAAUGUAUGUAUCUGUACUAGGAUUUUUAAAUGAGAGAAUAAUUUUUUAUUUACAUUGACUUACACCCAAAAUUGUACAUACAUGUAUAUACACUGUACUUUCCACUCAAUUGGUCAAUUCAUUUGAUUUUGCUUUUAGUGCUAUUUAAACAAUUGACAAGUAAUAAACAGUACUUUUUGACAGUUCUUGCAUCAGAUACUUUACAAAUGAAUAUAGUGAUCUUAGCUGUAAUUUUCCAGAUAGGUUUCAAAAACCAGAUUUAAAAAAAAGCUCUUAGGAAAAUUAGAACAGUACUAGUCACAUUAAAGAAAAUUUUGUUACCACAUGUAUGGUUUUGGUUGUAAGUUUAAAACAAAGAAGGAAUUACACUACAACACGAAAUUUGGCCCCUAAAUAAAGGUACAAAACUUUCUAUCAAAAAUUAUUGCAUUUUGUUCUAUGAUUGCAUAUACAUGUAACACUCUCUGCACACUAGUAUCAAUAAUUGGUUCAGUAUGUAGAAUAUUGAAUUAUAUUCUGCAUAUCACAAAGCGUCAUUUGAAAGGAAAAGAAGGGGUUGCGUACUGUACAUAACUGCGUGCUAUACACAGUCAAAUACGGUAAUGAAAGUACUGUACACUUAAUUUUUCAAUAUUAUUCUGAUUGUUUGACAGGAAGUAGAGACUAUCAAUAUAAUUACACUAAUCAUUUGACCAGUUUAUUAUUAACAAAGUUAAAAGACCCAUCACAAAAUUUUGAUAUAUUGAAUCUUUGUAUAUUUUUAGACCUAAAGGAGUAGAUCAGCUAACCAACUUCUUUUCCCCAUUACUGGUAUAUUUCUAAGGAUCAGAGGCAAUACUUUGAGAAAAUAAAAAUUCCCAUAUAUCUCUUGAGUGCACUUCACAUCUAUAUAAAAAAUUACACACAAUAAGAUGCAUCUACAUGUAUUUUAAAAAAUAUGUGUACAUAAUUCUGGCUACAUUUAUUCAAAGACCAGCUUUUCAACUUUUAACAAUUAUUUGGACAUUUGGGUAUAUUGGACUAUAAAUAACAUUAAAAAUGGCUCUCAACAAUGUACUAAAAUGGGCUCUUGUUUAGCAUAAAUAAACAGGUAUAAAAUGUGCAUGGUCAAUAAGUGUAUUUUGCAUAAUAACAACAAAUUAUUUUUAAGUCAUCUUGCAUUUUAUUUUGCAUUUUAUUCUGCAUAUUAACAAUUUACAUAUGUAAAAAGGUGUUCCAGAACUAAUUCAUAUGAAUGUUGGAAGGCAAAAGGUGGAUUUACACCAUACAAUUUCUAUCCGAUUUUUUACCUAUAAUGUGGUGUACACAAAAGUUACACCAUAUGAACACUAAAAUUGGAUGCCUUAAGGGUAAUCUGAUGGAAAAUGCAUCCUUUUGUCAGAAUACUGUAUAAUUUACUAAGGUGACUAUCAAAUUUGAUGAAAAAUUGUACCGUGCAAUCACAACUUUAUAGCUAUAAAUAUCUAAACUCUUUGAAAUUUCUGAUUGUUUAAGAGCCUAUCCAACCCUUUCGUAUGAAAAUUUCUGUAACAGCCCUUAUCAUUUGUAGCAUAGCACUAUUUCAUAAUGUAAAUUAGAUAAUAAGUCAACUACACAUCUAUAAAAUGAUGCAAAUUCAUAACUGAUUAAAACAUAGUCUAUUUGUUCAAAAUACAUAAACAUAUUUGUUUCACUGAAGGAUCCUCAUACUUUGCUACAUAGUAGUCCUAUUCAUAAAUAUAAAAAAAAGAAGAUGUGGUAUGAUUGCCAAUGAGACAACUGUCCACAUUUGACCAAAAUGACACAGGUAUUAACAACUAUAGGUCACCAUACAGCCUUCAACAAUGAGCAAAGCCCAUACCGCAUAGUCGACUAUAAAAGGCCCCUUAAGCAUACUUUCAUUUUUUUUUCAGUUACGGAUAUGUGCUGAAUGAUAGAUUUCUAAGCAAAUAGAAAAAUUUCUAUAUGAAAACUGCCUAUUAAAUUAAUGUUUCACAACUUCACGAGUUCUGAGCAAAUAGAAAAAAAUUCUAUGUGAAAACUGCCUAUCAAAUAAUUGUUUCACUUUUUCAGUAUGAAUAAUUCCUUGUAAAACUUUUGUAUCAUAUUAAUAAUCAAUAUUACAAAUCAAAUAUGCAAAUUUUAUUCAAAUACAGAGUUUGAGAAAUAAAUUGUAAAAAUUUGAUCAUAGUUCACCAUACAGAAUAUUCAAUAUACAUGCUUAGAUGAUCAUAGUUCGAUACAGCAAGAGAUACACGCUUGAAUAAACUCAAGACUGUAGUUCGAUACAGUAUGAGAUACACACUUAAAUGAACACAAGACCAUAGUUCGAUACAGUUUCAGAUACACGCUUAAAUGAACACAAGACCACAGUUCGAUACAGCUUCAGAUACACGCUUGAAUGAAGUUCAAUAAUUUCAGAUACAUGCUUGAAUGAACACAAGACCAUAGUUGGAUACAGUAUGAGUUACACACUUGAAUGAACAUAAGACAUAUGUGCUAAGUGAUAUAUACACACUAAUGGUUCUAAAUGUCUACUGAACACAUCAAAUUUACUUCUCAGACCAGCUGGAAGUUUUUGUCUUCAAAUAAAUAUAUAAAGCUAUAUAUACAUGCCUAACCUUGAUCUGUCGUCUCUAGGUAAUAGCAAAACAUGCCUCGCUGACCUCUUGACCUUAAAUCACUUUAUAAUGGCAAAUCAUUCUAAUACAUUAAGGGCAUACGAUACGAUACGAAAAACAUAACUUUUCUGUUUUUAAAGAUAAACACAAAUUGUUUUUUUUUUUUAAAUAUUUUGCAAUUUCUGUAUUUUAUAAGUAUCCUAAAAAUUUAUACAUUAUUUAUUCAGAAAUAACUCAUAUUUAUCAAAUGUUCAUGAAUGUAGAAAAAAAUGUUAUUUUUUGCUGUAUAUUUAUCAAAUUUAAAAAAAUUGCACUAUUUACAGUUUCAUGAAAAUUGACACACAUAAUCUUCCAACGUAAUCAAACCAAAUGGCAUUUUGAAAAAGAGGGGUCCAUGAACUUGUUUUCAAGUUAAGUAAGUGUUAAAUUAUAAAAAAACAGUCGAAAACUGAAUCUUUUCUCGAUAAGUCAUAGUUUGACGUCGCGAAAAUAACAAUUUACGUUAGCAACGUCAUUACCUCCCCUGUAACUGUAUUGUAUGCCCUUAACAUGUAAUAAUUCCAAUUCUCAAACAAAAAAUAUGUUCAACAAG
rnacentral:lncRNA from 1 species